rnacentral:rRNA from 1 species
UCAGCCGGUACUCCGAAUGCUCUAGAUUANAGUUUGAUCAUGGCUCAGGNCGAACGCUGGCGGCGUGCCUAAUACAUGCAAGUCGAGCGAACAGAGAAGGAGCUUGCUCCUUCGACGUUAGCGGCGGACGGGUGAGUAACACGUGGGCAACCUACCUUAUAGUUUGGGAUAACUCCGGGAAACCGGGGCUAAUACCGAAUAAUCUAUUUUACUUCAUGGUGAAAUACUGAAAGACGGUUUCGGCUGUCGCUAUAAGAUGGGCCCGCGGCGCAUUAGCUAGUUGGUGAGGUAACGGCUCACCAAGGCGACGAUGCGUAGCCGACCUGAGAGGGUGAUCGGCCACACUGGGACUGAGACACGGCCCAGACUCCUACGGGAGGCAGCAGUAGGGAAUCUUCCACAAUGGGCGAAAGCCUGAUGGAGCAACGCCGCGUGAGUGAAGAAGGUUUUCGGAUCGUAAAACUCUGUUGUAAGGGAAGAACAAGUACAGUAGUAACUGGCUGUACCUUGACGGUACCUUAUUAGAAAGCCACGGCUAACUACGUGCCAGCAGGCCGCGGUAAAUACGUAGGUGGGAAGCGUUGGCCCGGAAUUAUUGGGGG